rnacentral:rRNA from 1 species
AACGAACGCUGGCGGCAUGCCUAACACAUGCAAGUCGAACGAGACCUUCGGGUCUAGUGGCGCACGGGUGCGUAACGCGUGGGAACCUGCCCUUAGGUUCGGAAUAACUCCCCGAAAGGGGUGCUAAUACCGGAUAAUGUCUUCGGACCAAAGAUUUAUCGCCUUUGGAUGGGCCCGCGUUGGAUUAGCUAGUUGGUAGGGUAAAAGCCUACCAAGGCGACGAUCCAUAGCUGGUCUGAGAGGAUGAUCAGCCACACUGGGACUGAGACACGGCCCUGACUCCUACGGGAGGCAGCAGUGGGGAAUAUUGGACAAUGGGCGAAAGCCUGAUCCAGCAAUGCCGCGUGAGUGACGAAGGCCUUAGGGUUGUAAAGCUCUUUUACCCGGGAUGAUAAUGACAGUACCGGGAGAAUAAGCUCCGGCUAACUCCGUG